rnacentral:rRNA from 1 species
UGAACUUGCGGAAGGAUCAUUA